UACGUAGGGCGCAAGCGUUGUCCGGAAUUAUUGGGCGUAAAGAGCUCGUAGGUGGCUUGUCACGUCGGGUGUGAAAGCUUGGGGCUUAACUCCAGGUCUGCAUUCGAUACGGGCAAGCUAGAAUUCGGUAGGGGAGACUGGAAUUCCUGGUGUAGCGGUGAAAUGCGCAGAUAUCAGGAGGAACACCGGUGGCGAAGGCGGGUCUCUGGGCCGAAAUUGACGCUGAGGAGCGAAAGCGUGGGGAGCGAACAGG
rnacentral:rRNA from 1 species